GCUGGGUGUGGUGGUGCAUGCCUGUAAUCCUGGCAGCUCAGGAGGCUGAGGCAGGAGGCAGGAGGAUUUCGAGUUCAAAGCCAGCCUCAG
rnacentral:sRNA from 1 species